rnacentral:rRNA from 1 species
GAUUACAGGCGAUGAAGGACGUAGAAGUCUGCGAUAAGCCUCGGGGAGCUGACAAACAAGCUUUGAUCCGAGGAUUUCCGAAUGGGGAAACCCGGCCUUUUAGGUCAUUGCAUGCUGAAUACAUAGGCAUGCAAAGCGAACGCGGCGAACUGAAACAUCUAAGUAGCUGCAGGAAAAUAAAUCAACCGAGAUUCCCAAAGUAGUGGCGAGCGAAAUGGGAUGAGCCU